CAGAAAUGGAGGUUCCUUCCAGCCUCAAGCAUCUUUAAGAUGGUGGCGAUGUCUAUUUUGGGCUGAAGGGAGCUCCCAAUUCUU
rfam:Populus trichocarpa scaffold_6_contig_419, whole genome shotgun sequence.